AUUGAACGCUAGCGGGAUGCCUUACACAUGCAAGUCGAACGGAUUGGCGAACGGGUGAGUAAUGUAUCGGAACGUGCCCAGUAGCGGGGGAUAACUACGCGAAAGCGUAGCUAAUACCGCAUACUAUUGGAGCCGCCGAUGUCGGAUUUGGUAGUUGGUGGGGUAACGGCUCACCACGGCGACGAUCCGUAGCUGGUUUGAGAGGACGACCAGCCACACUGGAACUGAGACACGGCCCAGACUCCUACGGGAGGCAGCAGUGGGGAAUUUUGGACAAUGGGCGCAACCCUGAUGCAGCCAUGCCGCGUGUGCGAUGAAGGCCUUCGGGUUGUAAAGUACUUUUGGCAGGAAAGCGGUACCUGCAGAAGAAGCACCGGCUAACUACGUGCCAGCAGCCGCGGUAAUUC
rnacentral:rRNA from 1 species